UUCUCCAAUCUCCUGUCACUUACUCUUUGGAGCCUUGUCAGCCGCACAGUGGCCCUCACCCUCCUUUCAUCCUGACAGGGUUUCUCUCUGCUUGCAAAACCCAUACACUUUUUCCUCACAUACAUGCCCAAGCAGACAUGCAGAGAGACUGAGCAUACUCAGGAAACAAUACCUGCAUUGGAGGAAAAUGCACCAGACUUGCAAAGGAAGUACAGAAAAGGGUACCAAGGGCCUCUUGAGAUGACGUCCAUUCCAAGAACUGUACAUUCAGGGGCAGAAGCACAUAUCAGCCAACUUACUAGUUCAAGAGGAGCAUGUGUGAGAGAACACAGUAGAAUGAUACUUCUUCUCCUUCCCUUCCAGAACCUCUGCCCUCUAAAACCAGCACAAGUGAACCUUAGCUUGCUGUGCCUCAGGAAUCUCAUCCAAGACACUCUAGAAAGCAAGACAUUUAUUGAAGGUGACUACCAGUGAUUUCUCUGAGUCAAGCAGAAGGAAUAUCCUGAUUUCUGAAAUUCCCCAAAGAGAUGGUCUCACAUUACUAUGUUGGCUGCUGCUUCUGACCAGAAUAAGGGAACAAAGAUCUAGCCACAGUGGUUCCCAGCUUUGGGUGCCCAGAUGUUUU
rnacentral:lncRNA from 1 species